UACGUAGGGUGCGAGCGUUAAUCGGAAUUACUGGGCGUAAAGCGUGCGCAGGCGGCUUCGCAAGUCAGACGUGAAAUCCCCGGGCUUAACCUGGGAAUGGCGUUUGAAACUACGGAGCUGGAGUGUGGCAGAGGGAGGUAGAAUUCCACGUGUAGCGGUGAAAUGCGUAGAUAUGUGGAGGAACACCGAUGGCGAAGGCAGCCCCCUGGGCUAACACUGACGCUCAGGCACGAAAGCGUGGGGAGCAAACAGG
rnacentral:rRNA from 1 species